rnacentral:rRNA from 1 species
UGCAGAAUCCCGUGAACCAUCGAGUCUUUGAACGCAAGUUGCGCCCGAAGCCGUCAGGCUGAGGGCACGUCUGCCUGGGCGUCACGC